ACUCAAAUGAAUAGACGGGGGCCCGCACAAGCAGCGGAGCAUGUGGCUUAAUUCGAUGCAACGCGAAGAACCUUACCUGGGUUUGACAUGCAGGGAAAUCUGGUAGAGAUAUCAGGUCCGCAAGGGCCUUGCACAGGUGGUGCAUGGCUGUCGUCAGCUCGUGUCGUGAGAUGUUGGGUUAAGUCCCGCAACGAGCGCAACCCUCGUCCUAUGUUGCCAGCGAGUUAUGUCGGGAACUCAUGGGAGACUGCCGGGGUCAACUCGGAGGAAGGUGGGGAUGACGUCAAGUCAUCAUGCCCCUUAUGUCCAGGGCUGCACACAUGCUACAAUGGCCGGUACAAAGGGCUGCGAUACCGCGAGGUGGAGCGAAUCCCAGAAAGCCGGUCUCAGUUCGGAUUGGGGUCUGCAACUCGACCCCAUGAAGUCGGAGUUGCUAGUAAUCGCAGAUCAGCAACGCUGCGGUGAAUACGUUCCCGGGCCUUGUACACACCGCCCGU
rnacentral:rRNA from 1 species